CACUUUUAUAUCCGGAUUCUUAGAGCGGACUCAGAGCUCCACGGUUCUUUACGCGGUUAGCACAUGCGCGACGGCUCUGCUCCCUUUUCCUCUACUUCCACUAGCCUCCACGGUCCGGGCUGCCGCCGCCACCGCCGCCGAGGAGUCAGGAAGUUCAAGAUGGCCGCUGUGGAGGCUCAGUCUCUGCGGGAACAGCCAGAGAUGGAGGAUGCUGAUAAUUCUGAAAAAAGUGUAAAUGAAGAAAAUGGAGAAGUAUCAGAAGAUCAAUCUCAAAAUAAACACAGUCGUCACAAAAAAAAGAAGCAUAAACACAGAAGUAAACAUAAGAAACAUAAACAUUCCUCAGAAGAAGACAAGGAUAAAAAACAUAAACAUAAGCAUAAACAUAAGAAACACAAAAGAAAAGAGGUUAUUGAUGCUUCUGACAAAGAAGGGAUGUCUCCAGCAAAAAGAACUAAACUUGAUGACUUAGCUUUGCUGGAAGACUUGGAAAAACAGAGAGCCUUGAUUAAAGCUGAACUUGAUAAUGAGUUAAUGGAAGGAAAGGUCCAGUCUGGAAUGGGGCUCAUAUUACAAGGUUAUGAGUCUGGCUCUGAAGAAGAGGGAGAAAUUCAUGAAAAGGCAAGAAAUGGAAAUAGGUCUAGUAUUAGAUCUUCAACUACAAAGGGGAAACUUGAACUUAUAGACAAUAAAAAUAGUACAAAAAAGCGAAGUAAAAGCAGAUCCAAAGAACGGACUAGACAUAGGUCUGAUAAAAAGAAAACUAAGGGAGGUGUUGAAAUAGUUAAAGAGAAGACAACCAGGAGCAAAUCAAAGGAGAGGAAAAAGUCCAAAAGUCCAUCCAAAAGAAGCAAGUCUCAAGAUCAAGCAAGAAAAUCAAAAUCUCCUACCCUAAGAAGGCGAUCUCAAGAGAAAAUUGGGAAGGCCAGAUCACCUACUGAUGACAAGGUUAAAAUUGAUGAUAAAAGUAAGUCAAAGGAUAGGAAAAAAUCCCCAAUUAUAAAUGAAAGUAGAAGUCGUGAUCGAAGCAAAAAAUCCAGGUCCCCAGUUGACUUAAGAGGUAAAUCCAAAGACAGAAGGUCACGGUCCAAAGAGAGAAAAUCAAAACGGUCUGAAACUGAUAAAGAAAAGAAGCCAGUUAAAUCUCCCUCUAAAGAUGCUUCUUCUGGGAAAGAAAAUAGGUCACCCAGUAGAAGACCAGGCCGUAGUCCAAAAAGAAGAAGUUUGUCUCCGAAACAACGUGAUAAAUCAAGAAGAAGUAGAUCUCCGCUUUUAAAUGAUAGAAGGUCUAAGCAGAGCAAAUCACCUUCUCGAACUCUGUCUCCUGGUAGAAGAGCCAAGAGCCGGUCCUUGGAAAGAAAACGAAGAGAACCAGAAAGGAGACGUCUUUCUUCUCCAAGGACACGACCUCGAGAUGAUAUCCUCAGUAGACGUGAAAGAUCAAAAGAUGCCAGCCCUAUCAAUAGGUGGUCUCCAACCCGAAGAAGAGCCAGUAGAUCUCCCAUUAGGAGGAGGUCUCGUUCCCCACUCAGACGUAGCAGGUCUCCCAGAAGAAGAAGCAGGUCUCCUCGGAGAAGAUUUCCUUUCUCUUCGAGUAAAGAAAGAAGGCAUUGGGGCCAGAUCAGGGACAGAGGUCGGAGGAGCAGAUCCCGCAUGAGAAGGCGGUCUCGAUCACGGGGGGGCCGUAGACGUAGGAGUAGAAGCAAAGUGAAGGAAGAUAAAUUUAAAGGAAGUCUUUCUGAAGGAAUGAAAGUUGAACAAGAAUCUUCAUCUGAUGAUAACCUUGAAGACUUUGAUGUAGAGGAAGAAGAUGAAGAGGCCCUGAUAGAACAGAGAAGGAUACAAAGGCAAGCAAUUGUGCAGAAAUAUAAAUAUCUUGCUGAAGAUAGCAAUAUGUCUGUGCCAUCUGAACCAAGCAGCCCCCAGAGCAGUACUCGUACACGGUCACCUUCUCCAGACGACAUUCUGGAAAGGGUAGCUGCUGAUGUUAAAGAGUAUGAACGGGAAAAUGUUGAUACAUUUGAGGCCUCGGUAAAAGCCAAGCAUAAUCUAAUGACAGUUGAACAAAAUAAUGGUUCAUCGCAGAAGAAGCUUUUGGCACCUGAUAUGUUUACAGAAUCUGAUGAUAUGUUUGCUGCAUAUUUUGAUAGUGCUCGUCUUCGGGCUGCUGGCAUUGGAAAAGAUUUUAAAGAGAAUCCCAACCUUAGGGAUAACUGGACUGAUGCAGAAGGCUAUUAUCGUGUGAACAUAGGUGAAGUACUAGAUAAGCGCUACAAUGUGUACGGCUACACUGGACAGGGUGUAUUUAGUAAUGUUGUACGUGCCAGAGAUAAUGCGAGAGCCAACCAGGAAGUGGCUGUAAAGAUCAUCAGAAACAAUGAGCUCAUGCAAAAAACUGGUUUAAAAGAACUAGAAUUCUUGAAAAAACUUAAUGAUGCUGAUCCUGAUGACAAAUUUCAUUGUUUGCGGCUCUUCAGACACUUUUAUCACAAACAGCAUCUCUGCCUCGUUUUUGAGCCUCUCAGUAUGAAUUUACGAGAGGUGUUAAAAAAAUAUGGUAAGGAUGUUGGUCUUCAUAUUAAAGCUGUAAGAUCCUAUAGUCAGCAGUUGUUCUUGGCAUUGAAACUCCUUAAAAGAUGCAAUAUCCUGCAUGCAGAUAUCAAGCCAGACAAUAUCCUGGUUAAUGAAUCAAAAACUAUUUUAAAGCUCUGCGAUUUUGGGUCGGCUUCGCAUGUUGCGGAUAAUGACAUAACGCCCUAUCUUGUCAGUAGAUUUUAUCGUGCUCCUGAAAUCAUUAUAGGUAAAAGCUAUGACUAUGGUAUAGAUAUGUGGUCUGUAGGUUGUACCUUAUAUGAACUCUAUACUGGAAAAAUUUUAUUUCCUGGCAAAACCAAUAACCACAUGUUGAAGCUCGCCAUGGACCUCAAAGGAAAGAUGCCGAAUAAGAUGAUUCGGAAAGGUGUAUUCAAAGACCAACAUUUUGAUCAAAAUCUCAACUUCAUGUACAUAGAAGUUGAUAAAGUGACAGAGAGAGAGAAAGUUACUGUCAUGAGCACUAUUAAUCCAACUAAGGACCUGUUGGCUGACUUGAUUGGGUGCCAGCGACUUCCUGAAGACCAACGUAAAAAAGUACACCAGCUAAAGGACUUGUUGGACCAGAUCCUAAUGUUGGACCCAGCUAAACGAAUUAGCAUCAACCAGGCCCUACAGCAUGCCUUUAUCCAGGAAAAAAUUUAAACGAGAUGAAGAAGCUCCAAGGGUUUGAGUAAUUAAAUACAAAGACUGAAGAAAUUUCACAGCAGUUUAUUAAUGUAUAUAAACUUAUAAAUAUUUCUCCAGCAAAUUUGAGGAAGCAUGAUAUAUUUGAAUUAACACCAAGGGUGAUAUUUCUUUUAGAAAUGUUAGUUAAUCUGUUUUGUGUCUUAUGUGAAGUUUCACUGUAGAACUGUUUUAACUGCCAAGACUGCACAAAAUUACAGUGCUAAUGUAUAUGGUUGCAGUUCACAUAAAAGACAGAAGCAUCUGUUAUAAAAUAAGUAGUAAUACUGGGUGGUUGAUUUACUUUUAGCAGACUUGGCUUCAUUUUGGUCUUCAAGUACAAUGGCCAGCAUAAAUGCUGUUUAUAUUCACGUUUUCCUAGGUGUGUGUGUGCAGGCCACAGCAGCAUGCCCUUGGGGUAGUCAGUGCCGAAAGGGGUCUGUUCCUUCUUGAGCCUGCCUGCAGGGAUGGUCUCCUUUUAAAGCAGGUUGUGUACAACAUUCAGUACACUGAAGGUAAGCUAAACCAUCAACAUCACUGGUGUUUUAAGAUGUUAUUUUAUUGGAACAAUUGACAAAUGAGGGAUAUUAGCUUUGUGGCAGAAUUCCCUGCAUGUGUGAUAAUUGAUCUUGUUUUAUUUUUGGCAUUGCAACUGUGGCAUAGUUACAAUUUCUGUUCUGUUCAUCACAUUUAAAAUUGGAAGAGUAUGCGCUUGAUGGAUAAAGCGCCUUCAGUGUACUGUUUCUAAUUAACUUUAAUUUUUUAAAAUCAACUUGCUAUAGACUUUAUAUAUACAUUUUGUUAAAUACAGUUCCUAGUGACAUAGAAACAAUGCUUAGUUUUCAUUUACUAAUUACAAAUGUUGAGGCCUAAUUCUGAAAGUCCUCAUAUUUAAAAGUUAGAUAGAUGACAUAAUGAAAUUUUUAACUAUUUGUAUGUCAUUUUGAAAGUGUACUGCUUUAUGGUAAAAGUGUUUUUCAUUUGUUCAUUGUUUUCAUUAUUUGUGAUCAUGUUGUCUUUCAAUACAGGCAUAAACCUUCCACUCUUGAACAAAGCAGCUGCUUUUUAAAAGCGAGAAAAAAGGAAAACGGGGCACAGGCCAUUCAACGCCUUCUCCAAGGGGUCUGAUUUGCUGAGACACCAGCUUCACCUUCUUAACAAGGUUAUUUCUGACAGCAUGUGUAGAUAAACAUUUAGCAACAGUUUAAAACAAAAUCAUGUAAAUCAGCUUCGUUUUGCAGCACAAAGGAAUUUGUAUUUUUAACAUGGUAGAAGAGAAUUUUCAGAAAUUUAUGUAAUAAUCUUUUCUGUUUGGGUGGUAAAAAUAAUUCUUGUCUCCCUAAGGAAUAUGGAAAGUAAUCAUAUUUUAGGGGCUUAAAUAAUAUUUUUAAAUUGUAAAUGGGAUUUUUUUAUUCACCCAGGCACCUAAUUACAACAAGCAUGCACAUUUUGGUGCAUUCAAGAAUGGAAAAUCAGAGUAGCAGCAUUCUUCUGGUGGGUUUUGCUCCAUUUAAAGACAUGAAAUGACUACAGCCAGGAAGGUGAUAGAUGAUAUAAUAAGCCAGCUUUGAAUCUCCACCCCAUCUCUUCACGGUUUAGACUUACUAGACUAUAAUACAAGGUUGUGUUCAUCGGCAGGUCGCGUGAGGCCUUGUAAGUGAGGCAUCACUGGUGCAGCUGUGACCUUAGUGACACGGGUGUGAUUUCCCACCGUUACUUAUUUUGGUGACAGUAUGCUGCAUAUUCAAGUCUUUUGUAGUUAUUUUCAUUCAAAAUAGUUAAUAUUUUGAUGCUUCUGGUGAUUUUCAUGGCUUCAUUUUAUGUAAUUAUUUAAGUAAGUUAACUUCCACUAGAAACAGUUCAUCUUAUGCCUUCAAAACUGUUGCAUAUUCUUUAAAAACAAAGUUGCUUGUUACUUGUUCUUUGUGUUUUAGGUGCAGCUCAGUGGAAGAUGAUGACAACCAGAAGACAUGAGCUAAGGUUUCUGUCCUAUAAAGAUUUAAAAAAAAAAAAAAGAAUUCUCCAUUUAAUUUUGUCUGAUUUUUUUAGUUUUCAGCAUUAUGAUUUGGGUUUCAUUAAUGUUUGGUACUUAGAAUAGUAGUGCUAUUGUGUUCAUUUGUAAAGUGAUUGUUUUAUCAUGCUUCCUGCCUCUUCCGCCUUCUCCCUUCCCCUAAAAUAAAAAUAGUGGUCAAAUUUAGUGAUAUAAAAGACUCUUGGGUCGUGAGAGUCCACACAUUAACACAUGGUUUUCGAAAUAGUUUCCUAAGGAUUAUUAGGGAAACGGCAAGCAGCCAAAUGCAUACGUCUAGUCUUUAGCUUUAGGUAUCUUAUCUCCAUGGCAGAUGCAAAAGAACAGAAACAGAUUUUCAGAACACAAUUCAACUCCUUUAAUACUCUGUUCUCCAACUUGUCCAUUAAUAACUUUGUUUUUAACAAGCAUUCCAGUCAUGCAUGAUCUUAAAGUAGGCCAACUAUUUAGAGCCAUUGUCAAUUUUUCUUAAGGGAAAUGAGAAAUGACAUGCUGUAGACCUUUGAUAUUCCCAAAUUAAGCAUUCCUGGAUUGAUGUAUUCGACAGGAUCCCUGUAAGCCGUCUUUAUAUGUAAGAUGUUAUUAGAAUUUGUCAUUUUGCUGAGGCAGAAAUUUGGAAUUCUGCAAGACCUCUGUUAGAUUUGAGGUCAUUUAGUGAAUAAUUCUUUAAAAACCUGCAUUCAUGUUUCAGAGUAGCUAUAUAGUUUUCAAAUACAGUACUCUCUCAUGAAGUUUUUGCCUUAUACUUUGUGGCAAAAAUGAUAUCAAGUGAUUGUCAGAUUUCAGGAUCAUAAAUCUUAAGUCAUAGCUCUCAAAGAUGUCAUAGUUCUUUCUGUAGUUGGGACAAUAGCUGAGAUUUUAGAAAGUAUAUCCACUUUAGACACCAUUCUCUAGGUGGACCUUAUUCUUGAAGGUUAUCACAAAAUAGGUUGGAGUUUUGAGGCUUUGAAGGGAUGGAGCAUCUUGUCAUAAAUUUGAAGACCAUCCCAGUGUUUGUAUUCGCCCCUAAAUUCUUACUAAAAGCAUCCUGUUUCUUUAUUCCCCAGUGCCUAUCUUGUGCCACUCUACUUCUCUCAAAAUAAUUUUGUUUUAAAAUAAUUUUUAUGUUUUGCCAUUUUAAGUACCACUUUUCUUCCUAACUAAAACACUCAGGACAUUUUUAUAAUACAAAAAUACUAUAUAAUGUUUUAUAGUAUGUGGUAGAGGCAGUGAAAUAUAAUGUUCCUAGGUUUGUUCCAUAUCUGCAUUCCUUUUACUAUAUUUAAACGUUAUCAUCUUCAUCAUUUUGUAGCAGAACUCUAGCUGGCAAUGUAGAAAUAAAAGAAUCACAUAUCUGAAAAUUUAGGCCAAACAGUAAAGAAUGCUCUUUUAAAUGUUGGAGUUAAGAGAAAAGCCAGAUAUUCAAAUAUAUCAUUUCCUUCCCUUAGUUAUAAAGACAUCAGUAGAAAUUGGCCUUCAUAAAAUCUUUGGUUCUUCAUAGUAUUGUAGUUCAAGUAUAUAUUCAACAUGAAUUUUGUCAUUCUUCUCCUAGAUGGAAUGUCCUCCUUAUAAAAGUGUUCACUACAAAUUCAUCUGUUUUUCACAUGUCAAUAAUGUACACUAAAUUGAGUUUUAAAAUGUUUUCCAGUUAUUUUGAUACAUAACAUCAUGGCAUCUUUAAUUUUUCUUUUCCUUCUAUAUGUAGGGUAAGGGACUUUCUGAAGAAUCUUUUCAUUUAGUGAUCAAGAUAUGGAAGCUGAAAUCUGAAAAUACUCAAUAUGUAUUCUAAUUGUUUGUGGAUUUGAAUUGUAACUUGCAUUUUAGCAGCAAUGUUCCCAGUCAGCUGAUUGGGAAAACAAUAAAA